rnacentral:tRNA from 1 species
GGAAGAGUAUCAUCCCCGGUGGGGUGCCCGGACUUCAAACCCGGUGAGGUCUGUAAAACAGGCCUGGUGGGUUCGACUCCUGCCUCUUCC